CACCGCCCGUCACGUCACGAAAGUCGGUAACACCCGAAGCCGGUGGCCCAACCCCUUGUGGGAGGGAGCCGUCGAAGGUGGGACUGGCGAUUGGGACGAAGUCGUAACAAGGUAGCCGUACCGGAAGGUGCGGCUG
rnacentral:ncRNA from 1 species